AACGAGAUUCCCACUGUCCCUAACUACUAUCUAGCGAAACCACAGCCAAGGGAACGGGCUUGGCAAAAUCAGCGGGGAAAGAAGACCCUGUUGAGCUUGACUCUAGUCUGACUUCGUGAAGAGACAUGAGAGGUGUAGCAUAAGUGGGAGCCUUGGGAUCAAUCUUGAUUAUUGCUUCGGCUUUAGUUGAGACCCCUUGGCGAUCAUGAAAUACCACUACUCUCAUCGUUUCUUUACUUACACGGUAAAAAGGAAGUUGGGAUAGUGCCUCUCUCUCAUGGAUUUCGGUUCAUGUUGAGGAGGCCACCUAUCUCUAAAUUCUAGAGCAAAAUGUGGUUCCAUCCAUACAUGCCUCAAGACACCUAGUUGCGUUUUGUUCUUCUUUUCGGAGAAGGCUGAACUUACUAAAGACUUGGGUUUGGUUGGUAACCCGUGUAAGUUGGUCAGUGCUUGCACUACCAUACAUUACACAAACCGCAUGAUCCUCGCCGUGGACAUUGUCAGGCGGGGCGUUUGACUGGGGCGGUACAUCUGUCAAAAGGUAACGCAGGUGUCCUAAGGC
rnacentral:rRNA from 1 species